rnacentral:rRNA from 1 species
CUGGCUCAGGAUGAACGCUAGCGACAGGCUUAACACAUGCAAGUCGAGGGGCAGCAUAAAAGUAGCAAUACUUGGUGGCGACCGGCGCACGGGUGAGUAACGCGUAUGCAACCUACCUAUCAGAGGGGAAUAACCCGGCGAAAGUCGGACUAAUACCGCAUAAAACAGGGGCACCGCAUGGUGAUAUUUGUUAAAGAAAUUCGCUGAUAGAUGGGCAUGCGUUCCAUUAGGUAGUUGGUGAGGUAACGGCUCACCAAGCCGACGAUGGAUAGGGAACUGAGAGGUUGGUCCCCCACACUGGUACUGAGACACGGACCAGACUCCUACGGGAGGCAGCAGUGAGGAAUAUUGGUCAAUGGGCGGGAGCCUGAACCAGCCAAGUCGCGUGAAGGAGGAAGGAUCUAUGGUUCGUAAACUUCUUUUGCAGGGGAAUAAAGUGCAGGACGUGUCCUGUUUUGUAUGUACCCUGAGAAUAAGGAUCGGCUAACUCCGUGCCAGCCGCUGC